rnacentral:tRNA from 1 species
GCGCGGGUGGUGAAAUUGGUAGACACGCAGGCUUGAGGGGCCUGUGGUCAUUGCGACCGUGGAGGUUCAAGUCCUCUUCCGCGCA